CGGAUUGUAAAGCCCUUUCGGCGGGGACGAUGAUGACGGUACCCGCAGAAGAAGCCCCGGCUAACUUCGUGC
rnacentral:rRNA from 1 species